AGUUACAACACACUCAAAUGUUCAGAAGUAAAUGAAAAUGAAUUUAUUCCAUUCUGCACUCUGGCAUUUUACAACCCAAACUAUUCUUCAAUUUAAGAUGUGUCAACUGUGGUCAUCUUUGCAAAAAUACCAAGAUGCCAUUUCAUUAACUAAUAAUCCAUAGAAAACACAUGCACACUCACACUCACACACACACACACACAACCCUAUCCCCAUAAUAUAUAUAUAUAUAUAAUAAAAAUAAUAAAAUAAAAUAAAAAAAGCCCAAAAAAAUGAGAAAAUAAUGUAAUAGCAUAGAAUGGACUCUUUACAAGUUUGAACGUUUUGUAAAAUAUAAGGAAUGGCAAUUUUACACGAUAUCUAGAUGAAUGAACUACUAACUUUAAAAUUUAUCUGUAAACUUGGCAGUCUUAUUGAUAGGUUUAUUUCAAAUUAUCACUACAAUACAACCAACAUUUUUGGAGUUUUUAUUUUCACUUGUGUCUAACUAGGUAUUAAAUUUUAUGUUGACAAAUCACAAACCAACUCUCUAACUUGACUGACAAUCCCAAACCAAACACACGCAUAAUAAUAGACUAAAUUGAUUUGUCUCAUAAUAGAUUAACUUCCAAAACCUGCGCAUACUAAGAAUUUUAAAAUUACUCAACUUCUAAGAAUCUAACCACUAAUAACUUCCAAUAUUUAAAAAUAAAAA